UACGAAGGGGGCUAGCGUUGCUCGGAAUCACUGGGCGUAAAGGGUGCGUAGGCGGGUCUUUAAGUCAGGGGUGAAAUCCUGGAGCUCAACUCCAGAACUGCCUUUGAUACUGAGGAUCUUGAGUUCGGGAGAGGUGAGUGGAACUGCGAGUGUAGAGGUGAAAUUCGUAGAUAUUCGCAAGAACACCAGUGGCGAAGGCGGCUCACUGGCCCGAUACUGACGCUGAGACACGAAAGCCAGGGGAGCGAACGGG
rnacentral:rRNA from 1 species